rnacentral:rRNA from 1 species
GAUGAACGCUGGCGGCGUGCCUAAUACAUGCAAGUCGAGCGAACGGACGAGAAGCUUGCUUCUCUGAUGUUAGCGGCGGACGGGUGAGUAACACGUGGAUAACCUACCUAUAAGACUGGGAUAACUUCGGGAAACCGGAGCUCAUACCGGAUAAUAUUUUGAACCGCAUGGUUCAAAAGUGAAAGACGUUCUUGCUGUCCCUUUUAGAUGGAUCCGCGCUGCAUUAGCUAGUUGGUAAGGUAACGGCUUACCAAGGCAACGAUGCAUAGCCGACCUGAGAGGGUGAUCGGCCACACUGGAACUGAGACACGGUCCAGACUCCUACGGGAGGCAGCAGUAGGGAAUCUUCCGCAAUGGGCGAAAGCCUGACGGAGCAACGCCGCGUGAGUGAUGAAGGUCUUCGGAUCGUAAAACUCUGUUAUUAGGGAAGAACAUAUGUGUAAGUAACUGUGCACAUCUUGACGGUACCUAAUCAGAAAGCCACGGCUAACUACGUG